CCUACGGGAGGCAGCAGUGAGGAAUAUUGGUCAAUGGACGAGAGUCUGAACCAGCCAAGUAGCGUGAAGGAUGACUGCCCUAUGGGUUGUAAACUUCUUUUAUAUGGGAAUAAAAUGUUUCACGUGUGGGAUUUUGUAUGUACCAUAUGAAUAAGGAUCGGCUAACUCCGUGCCAGCAGCCGCGGUAAUACGGAGGAUCCGAGCGUUAUCCGGAUUUAUUGGGUUUAAAGGGAGCGUAGGUGGAUUGUUAAGUCAGUUGUGAAAUUUUGCGGCUCAACCGUAAAAUUGCAGUUGAAACUGGCAGUCUUGAGUACAGUAGAGGUGGGCGGAAUUCGUGGUGUAGCGGUGAAAUGCUUAGAUAUCACGAAGAACUCCGAUUGCGAAGGCAGCUCACUGGACUGCAACUGACACUGAGGCUCGAAAGUGUGGGUAUCAAACAGGAUUAGAUACCCCGGUAGUC
rnacentral:rRNA from 1 species